UACAGAGGGGGCAAGCGUUAUUCGGAAUUAUUGGGCGUAAAGGGCGCGUAGGCGGGCUUUCGAGUCGGUUGUGAAAUCCCUCAGCUCAACUGAGGAACUGCAUCCGAUACUGUUUGUCUUGAGGACGAGAGGGGAGAGUGGAACUUCUGGUGGAGCGGUGAAAUGCGUAGAUAUCAGAAGGAACGCCGGUGGCGAAAGCGACUCUCUGGCUCGUAUCUGACGCUGAGGCGCGAAAGCCAGGGGAGCAAACGGG
rnacentral:rRNA from 1 species